AGUCCAGGGUUCCACUUCCAUUCAGCCAUAAAAGGGGAAUAGCAAAGCGAUAUCUUCGGUGGCAGCAAACGGGGAAUGACAGUGGAUCGAUGCGUGCGCAUAUGGGCGAUACUACAGCGUUUAUAUGGCGGCCAAUUCAUAUUGCUGGUGAAAGGGAAAGUCAAAGUAUCCCAUCCCAUGCCCAUCUUCCCAUCGCACCCUCCCACAUCCCCAGGAAACCAGUCUGAGUCAUCCGUUAAGAGGAACGGAGUGUGGUGGCGAUGCGUUUGGGGAAUUCGCUGAUUUGGUGGCGACAUCAACGGGCGGCAUCAGUGGCGGCGGCGGGCACACACAGUGCGUACUUCCUGGAAACCUAUCUCUGCCAGGCUGAGGUCCCACAAUUAUGAGCCGCCGUUAGAGCCGGGCUUGCUAACUCCAUGCCGCAGCCACCAGAUGUCAAUGAAGCAUGCAACUGCCACCGCCGCUUAUCGCGUUUGGAGCUUUGGCUUUCUCAAGAGAAAUGCCAGUGGUUUGGGCUCGAGGAUCGAGGAUCGCCGGUGUGCUGGAGAUCAAGUUGAUUGAAGUGCCUUUCGAAACGGAAUACAAACAUGCGGAGUAGAACGAAAGGCUCUGCCGUAGGAAGUGCAAACACACUGUCAAGGGAUGCUACGAAAAUAUUGUCUUUGGUCUCCCAAAAGGGUCCUUCCAUCGCCCUAAAACUGCAAAAUUGAACAACGUGGCCGGCACUUCAUUGGCCAGAAACACAGGCCAGAGCCAAAAACCAACACACUUGGUGCUCAACACGAGGAUGCAGCAUGAAUGUGGAGGACUGCAGCCAGAGAACGAGGAUCGAGAAUGGAUGGCGGAUGGAUGGGCCCCCAGCCAAGAUGUGCCAAGUCAGCGUGAUCUGCGCAAAGUGACGAGUUUUUAAUGAAUUUGUUUAACUCAGGUCAGGCCCUGGCACCUAGUACUAAGCCACAGACCCUGAGUCUGGCUGCAAAUCUGAUUCUGACCCGAAACAGUGGCUUCAUUUCUAUGGUAUAUUACAUUAAUGGCUUACAAUAUGAUAUAUAACAUCAUUUUGUCAAACUGGGCAAGUAGUAGUUUGAAUCCUUAUGUGAGAUUUAAUGGCAGUCAUGUGUAAAAACUAAUAUCCCUGGAACCACUGUGCCCUGCCGUCUGCGGAGAUGCUUGAACAGACCCAAUCCAAGUUGAUGGCGCGACAGUCGAGGUCGCAGGCACAGUCCGUGGCAAGUGGCGAUGAUGGCGAUGUGGAUAUGGAUGUGACUGCGACUGUGACUAUGACUCUGGAUGAUGCGGUUGAUGCCGAGCUCAAGUGCGGCUGGGACUAGGACCUGUGUGGAUGGAGGCGCUGACGGCCCGUGACGAUAUCCCAGGGCGAGGUGCCAGGAGAUAAAGCAGAUACAGCAGAUACUGGGUGCAGUGAGUGAGUUCCUGCCUCUUGAGGUCGUCCAAGUCGUCAUCGUCAGCGACGACGCCAGCGUCUGGGUCUAGGAUGAGUGGUCUGGAAUCUAGCAGAGCAAACAAAGGCAGCUAACACUCGAGUUCCAUCUAGUUUCCGAUUGUCCAGUCCAAUGGGAGCGAAAGGAGGCGGCGGAGUAUCAGCCCGUGUUUCAUGUCCUUCACAGUUCACUUUCGUUGACCACAAGGCGACGUCCGACGCUUUUUUUUACUUCAUUUUUCCGCUGGCUGCUCUCUGUUUGCUCCUCUUGUGUUCAACAAAAUGUUCCAAAUUGUUGCGCACUGCAAACAUCCGAGGAAUUUGCGCUUAACAAACUUCGCCAAAUGCUUUCCGUUUCAG
ensembl:ncRNA lncRNA:CR45310 long non-coding RNA:CR45310